GACGAACGCUGGCGGCGUGCUUAACACAUGCAAGUCGAACGCUGAAGCUCAGCUUUUGUUGGGUGGAUGAGUGGCGAACGGGUGAGUAACACGUGAGUAACCUGCCUCCUUCUUUGGGAUAACGCCCGGAAACGGGUGCUAAUACUGGAUAUUCACUGGUCUUCGCAUGGGGGUUGGUGGAAAGGGUUUUUCUGGUGGGGGAUGGGCUCGCGGCCUAUCAGCUUGUUGGUGGGGUGAUGGCCUACCAAGGCUUUGACGGGUAGCCGGCCUGAGAGGGUGACCGGGCACAUUGGGACGGAGAUACGGCCCAGACUCCUACGGGGGGCAGCAGUGGGGAAUAUUGCACAAUGGGCGCAAGCCUGAUGCAGCGACGCCGCGUGAGGGAUGGAGGCCUUCGGGUUGUGAACCUCUUUCGCUAAUGGUCAAGCCGCAACAAUGGUUGUGGUGAGGGUAGUGGGUAAAGAAGCGCCGGCUAACUACGUG
rnacentral:rRNA from 1 species